CCUACGUGAGGCAGCAGUGGGGAAUAUUGCACAAUGGGGGAAACCCUGAUGCAGCGACGCCGCGUGAGUGAAGAAGUAUUUCGGUAUGUAAAGCUCUAUCAGCAGGGACGAAGAAAGACGGUACCUGACUAAGAAGCCCCGGCUAACUCCGUGCUAGCAGCCGCGGUAAUACGUAGGGGGCAAGCGUUAUCCGGAUUUACUGGGUGUAAAGGGAGCGUAGAAGGCUGUGCAAGUCUGAAGUGAAAGCCACGGGCGCAACCCUGGGACUGCUUUGGAAACCGUGGAGCUAGAGUGCUGGAGAGGUAAGUGGAAUUCCUAGUGUAGCGGUGAAAUGCGUAGAUAUUAGGAGGAACACCAGUGGCGAAGGUGGCUUACUGGACAGUAACUGACGUUGAGGCUCGAAAGCGUGGGGAGCAAACAGGAUUAGAUACCCCUGUAGUC
rnacentral:rRNA from 1 species